rnacentral:tRNA from 1 species
GCCGAUGUGGCUUAAUGGUAAAGCAGUGCUUUCGUAAAGCACGGACGGUGGUUCGAUUCCACCCAUCGGCU